UACGAAGGGAGCGAGCGUUGUUCGGAAUCACUGGGCUUAAAGCGUACGUAGGCGGCAUAACAAGUCAGGAGUAAAAUCCCAGGGCUUAACCCUGGAAUGUCUCUUGAAACUGUCAUGCUGGAGUCCCGGAGAGGUUAGCAGAAUUCCGAGUGUAGAGGUGAAAUUCGCAGAUAUUCGGAGGAAUACCAGUGGCGAAGGCGGCUAACUGGACGGGUACUGACGCUGAUGUACGAAAGCGUGGGGAGCAAACAGG
rnacentral:rRNA from 1 species